GCCUUUGAAUGAUUUUGAAACUGUGUCAUAUAUUCUUGCUGGGUUGGGAUCCGAAUAUGAUCCUUUUGUCACUUCUAUUACCACCUGUGUGGAUCUUCUUUCUCUUGAGGAAAUCUAUGGUCAUCUAUUAGCCUAUGAAC